CCCUCCUCCUGCCUGGCCCACCCAGGCUUAGCAGAGGAACAAGACCUAGAAAGGCUAAGCUGAGAGAACAACUCCAAAUCAUCCUUUUAUUUAUAUAAAAAGGGAAUAUUUAGCAAAAGACACACUGAGAAAAGAGUCAAUAUGGCCCCAGAGACAAGGCAGGGAGGUGACAGGCCUUCUAAGCUCCUGUUGGGGGAGAAGGAGGCCUGGGACAAAGUGGUGAGAAGUAAGUGCAGUGAUGGGGGCCGAGAAAGGAGAAGGCUCCAGCGGGAUCGAUACUGCUGGCAGGUCUGGGGUACUUGGUGACCUGGCAGCUCACUCUUGCAGGGGGAGGGGCCCAGUUAGUGCUGCCCACUGGAGUGAAAGACGCUCCCUGGUUCCUGGAGGGCACCCACCAAGGGACAAGACAGGAAGCCCAGGAUAGGAAGUGCAACUUGGGGCCAGGGCCAGGGAGAAGCAGGUGCUCUGCAGUGGCCGGAAAGGUCCAGACGCUGAGGCCAAGGUGCUUCCUGUUACGUGCGGGCGUUUCUCUCUGUCUCCGCCAGGCACUCUCUGACCAGGGCCCGAGCAUGGAUGAUGCCUGGGGUGGGGAUGGGUGGGACAGGGAGGUCACAUACAGGAUCUCAGUGGCCCUCCACAGCCCCACCCUGCCCUCCAGAAAAGCCCUCCCUCCCUCCCCACCCCACUUUUGUUUCAGCUAGAGAAGCUCAAAUCUAAGGAGGGACUAGAUGAGAUUACAGAUGUGGCUAAUCCUCAAAUUAACCCUGUUGAAAGACAAAUUCCCAGGCACUUUCCUGGAAAUUGACUCAAUUUCAAAUCAAACAUCUCUCUGGGUAGUGAUACUGGCCCUUGUGUAGGUUUGGCUCAAGUGUCCUGUCCUGACUCCAGAUGUCAGUCCUUCCCUAAGGUUGAGGGACUGUCCAGUGACUGUCUCCUGGAUAGGGCAGGGUGGGCCUGGCCUCACUUACCUCUUUUCAGGCGCUCCAUGGCGCUCUUGCUACCAGCAUAGGUGGGCCGAAUCUCUUUACCCAUCUCCUCUAUGACCGAAAGCAGGUCCGUGUAGGUGCUCUGGGAGCCCUGCGCACCAGGUGGCUUCAUCGCCUAUGUCAAAAGAGAACGGGGGCGUGAGGUCAGGUCCCGGAUGGGCCUCCAGUCCUCAUCCAUAAACAAGCCCUUGGCCACACUCACCUGCACAUAGCCCAUGGAGGGAGGGCCAAAGUCGUUAAACAGUGGUCUGAAAGGGGCAGCGGCUCCUGGCACCGAGCCCGACGGCGAUGGGACACUUCCAGCUGCAACAGGCGCGAAUAAGAGGCCAGCAAACUGAGGCUCAGCGAGGCUAGGCGGCAGGCCCAGUAUUGCAGAACUCAGGCCGUCUUCUCUUCAAGACCUCGACAGCCCCGGUAGGCGAGCAGGGGUGGAGUUAGAUCCUCACCUGUAGGUACCGGGGUGCCUGGCCCAGGGGUGCUGGAGCCGGGGGUGCUGCUGGGGGCGGGAGCGAUAGGUUUGUAGGACAUCCCCAACUCCUGGGUGCGGCGGACGCCAGCCGGCCGCUCCUCGGGGGUUGGCUGCCGGGCCGCUCAGCCGCGCUCUGAUUGGCAGACGGGUUGCACGCCCCUGGUAAAUAGAGCUCCGGCCGGAAGGGUGGGAGGGCACGCAAGCUCCCUCACUCCCGAUUGGCGCGCAAGGACGUCACUCGAGCCUCCUCAUUGGUCGAGGCCUGCCCCCGCAGGUCGCAACUACCGCCGAUUGGUUCGCGCCUUCCGGACCUCGCACCUGUCUGCUCCGGAUUGGGCGGUGGCUGCCGCCCUCAGCAAUUGGCGAGUUCGCGGCCCGGGCCGGCGCGCUCUCAAUCCGAUUAGUCCCAAGGCCCGAGAGGCGGGGCCUCGGAAGCGGGACCCGGUCCCGGCAGCCGCGGUUCGCGCCGAGGGGGUCUUCUCGGGCGCGGGCGCCGCCCUCCCGCCUUGCUCGCGCUGCCUUGCGCGUCCGUUCCGCGCCGCCCAGUCUCAGUCCUACCGGAGCUGCGGUCGCCGUCGCCGCGCGCCCCUUCCCUUCUCUCCGGGUGCCGAAGGACGCGGGGCUUUGACGUUCCGAGCCCUGCGCCCCACCCCGCGCGCUUUUACGUCACCUUUCCCCGGUUCAGCACCCGUUCUCCGGUCUGCGCAUGCGCCCGCCUCAGGCCUUCUUUUGUUCCCAUGGCAACGGGUCCCUCUCCAACGCCGCCUCUCACGGCUCUUCUCGGGAUUGGACGAGCGUUCCUUCAUCUAUCCGGCAAACAUUUUCUGACUCCCUCCUCCAUGCCAGGCCUUGUCCUGAUCGAAGAUACAGAAAUGAACUGGCCACGGCCUCCGACCUCCGGGAUCUCCUAUUUUGCGGACACGUGCACGUGAGUGUACAUAGCAGUUUUAAAAUCUCCAAAUCUAGAGGCAUCCUUUGUGCUAGUCAGCUUCCGAUCACUGUGACCAAGUACCUGAGACAAUCAACUUUGAGGGAGAAGAGAUUCAUUUUGUCUCAUGGCUUCAGAGGUUUCAGUCCAUGGUUACUUGGUGUUGAAGUACAUCGUGACUGGACACAUCUACGUGGUAGAGGAGGCUGGUUGGUGUCAUGGUGGCCGGAAAGUGAUCAGAGAGGGGCCAGUGUCCUGUUGUCCCUUCCAGGGCACACCCCCAGUGACGAAUCUUCCCCCACCAGGCCCUGCCUCCUGAAGGCCCCACCACCUCCCAAUGGCACCACUGGCUGGGGACCACUCCUUCUAACAUGGCCUUUGGAGGACAUUUAGCCUUCACAGGAUAGCAUCUUUGAUAGUUGAAUGGGUAAAAGAACUGUGAUAGAGCCAUUCAAUGGAACACCAUUCAGUCAUGAAAGAAAUCACUUUU